CCUACGGGAGGCAGCAGUGGGGAAUAUUGGACAAUGGGGGGAACCCUGAUCCAGCGACGCCGCGUGAGUGAUGAGGUAUUUCGGUAUGUAAAGCUUUAUCAGCAGGGAAGAAAGAAAUGACGGUACCUGACUAAGAAGCCUCGGCUAACUACGUGCCAGCAGCCGCGGUAAUACGUAGGGGGCAAUCGUUAUCCGGAUUUACUGGGUGUAAAGGGAGCGUAGACGGCGAUGCAAGUCAGAAGUGAAAGGCGGGGGUCCAACCCCCGGACUGCUUUGGAAACUGUAUGGCUGGAGUGCAGGAGAGGUAGGUGGAAUGUAUGGUGUAGCGGUGAAAUGCGUAGAGAUUA
rnacentral:rRNA from 1 species